GCUGGUGGAGCUGAGUUUAUUUCAUCAUUCUUUGGGGCAAAGACUUGCUCUGGGGCAAGGCUGAAUCAAUCCCCGGCCCCUUCCCUCAGGACCCACAGUGGUCAGUGAGGCCAGCCAUCUACUUCCCCUGCAGUGGUUGUCUUUCUCUGUCCCCUGGAGAGGAGGUUUCCCGGGAGGGCCUGUGGGCAGGUGCUGUGAGGAGGCUGUGCCAGGGCUGAAGGUCUUGGUGGAGCCCACAGGCACCACCCUCAGGCAAAGGGCAGAGCCCAGCCUGACAGUAGCUCUGCCAUUCUGCAGCCCUGGGCUCCUGCAACCCUCCCAGCCAGAGAGGUAUGCCUGGAGUCCGCUGGAAAGUGUUUGUCUCUGCCCCAGGCUUACCCUCUUGUACCCCUAGAUAAUCAUCUCCUAGAGAAGGCUGAGUUGCUGGCCCGGAUCUCAGAGAAGCUGCAGCCAGAGCCAAAUGAUGUCACUCCUGCGACCCUCCAGGGCCCCUGGGAGGAGGAAUCGGGGCCUGACUCAGACCAAGUCCUGUCACCAACCACUCUGAGGGUGAAGUGGCAAGAGGAGGAGGAGAGGGUCCGGCGGGACUGCGGUGAGAUGGCCUACCAGGCGGUGGAGCAGAGCGCUGCGCUGGGCGCCUUGGAGUCCACGCUGGAGGAACAGCAAAGCAGGUGAGGCG